AGUUUGAUCCUGGCUCAGGAUGAACGCUAGCUACAGGCUUAACACAUGCAAGUCGAGGGGCAGCAUUGGGGUAGCAAUACUUCAGAUGGCGACCGGCGCACGGGUGAGUUACACGUAUCCAACCUGCCGCUUACUCGGGGAUAGCCUUUCGAAAGAAAGAUUAAUACCCGAUGGUAUAAAGAGUUCGCAUGUUCUCUUUAUUAAAGAAUUUCGGUAAGCGAUGGGGAUGCGUUCCAUUAGAUUGUUGGCGGGGUAACGGNCCACCAAGUCUACGAUGGAUAGGGGUUCUGAGAGGAAGGUCCCCCACAUUGGAACUGAGACACGGUCCAAAUCCUACGGGAGGCAGCAGUGAGGAAUAUUGGUCAAUGGACGAGAGUCUGAACCAGCCAAGUAGCGUGAAGGAUGACCGCCCUAUGGGUUGUAAACUUCUUUUAUAAGGGAAUAAAGUGAGGGACGUGUCCCUUUUUGUAUGUACCUUAUGAAUAAGGAUCGGCUAACUCCGUGCCAGCAGCCGCGGUAAUACGGAGGAUCCAAGCGUUAUCCGGAUUUAUUGGGUUUAAAGGGAGCGUAGGUUGACAUAUAAGUCAGCUGUGAAAGUUUACGGCUCAACCGUGAAAUUGCAGUUGAUACUGUAUGUCUUGAGUGUACAAGAGGUGGGCGGAAUUCGUGGUGUAGCGGUGAAAUGCUUAGAUAUCACGAAGAACUCCAAUUGCGAAGGCAGCUCACUGGGGUACAACUGACACUGAGGCUCGAAAGUGUGGGUAUCAAACAGGAUUAGAUACCCUGGUAGUCCACACAGUAAACGAUGAAUACUCGCUGUUUGCGAUAUACAGUAAGCGGCCAAGCGAAAGCAUUAAGUAUUCCACCUGGGGAGUACGCCGGCAACGGUGAAACUCAAAGGAAUUGACGGGGGCCCGCACAAGCGGAGGAACAUGUGGUUUAAUUCGAUGAUACGCGAGGAACCUUACCCGGGCUUGAAUUGCAGAGGAACAUAGUUGAAAGAUUAUGGCCGCAAGGUCUCUGUGAAGGUGCUGCAUGGUUGUCGUCAGCUCGUGCCGUGAGGUGUCGGCUUAAGUGCCAUAACGAGCGCAACCCUUAUCAUUAGUUACUAACAGGUCAUGCUGAGGACUNNAGUGAGACUGCCGUCGUAAG
rnacentral:rRNA from 1 species